AAAUCCAAUGUCUCCGUCGUCUCCAAUUCCCAUCCACCAUCGCAUCUGAGAAACCGAAGUUAUAUACUGAGCCUCCAUUAUCUUCAGAUUAAUUGUUAGCUGUUAAUAAUUGCAUUCAAGGAAAGCAAUUCACUGCUUUCUCAUCCUUCCAACUUCCUACCUUUCGUGAUGCUUUCAUACACCAUAUAUGAAGCCGAGGAAGAGGUUUCUGCACAUCUUUCUGCUUAAUUUUUCCUCUAUAUAGUGUAUGAAAUCAUGAUGAAACUCUCAAUUGAGAAACUCCAUAUUAUGAGCUUACAAAAAGCCUAUGGAGCGCUCGAGGAUUCCACCAUCAUUGGUCUCGCUACGGCCAACUGUGAAAUCAAGGAUUUAUAUAUUGCGAUCAAGGCAACAAAUUAUAUCAUAAGAUCAAUCGGUUACAGCUUCAAUCCUCUUAAAUUUUUUCUUCAAUCCUCUUAAAUUCCUUUUUCAAUCCUUCAUACACGAUUAUAAGGUAUUCCACUCUUGAAACUCAUGAACAUCUUAUGGAGGAGAAAGAAGCGUUAUCGAUCGCUGGGUUGAAACAUGGUGUUCCUUCCACUGAAAGGGUCUCUGAAAUCGCUGCUUAUUGCAGUGAGAGGAAGCUGGCGUCUCGAAGAGUCAAAGAUGCGUGUGUUAAGCUCUACCCUUGGUGUGUUCUAUAGAGAAAAAAGAAAGUGUUUCCAUGCGAAGCUAGAGUAAUGAACUUAUGACCAAUGUUUAUAACUAUUUACAUUAGUAACUUGGCAUUGAACGGAGAAUAUACUAAGAUCGAAUCGAAGGCUUGUGUGCAGACUGGCUCGAGGGGACAUCAACCUUAACCCUCGAUAAACUCGAAUUCAAGAGAGGUGGAAGAGGCUAUAUAUUUUAUAUAGAUUCUGGUGAUGUCAUGACAGCCACCGUGGAUGUCAACCGUCUCGGCACACUUUCCGACUGAAGGCUAGUUCACUGUUGACCUUAAGCGGACGACUCGAUGUGACACCGUGCAAUCAGAACUUUGGACUAACCGACUCUUCUCUAACAAUUCGGUUCAGUGAUUCAACCAGAUUUGAUGAGUUAACGAACCCGUCUCUCCGACACCUCAAGAGCGGUUAAGGUUCCGUGCUCAAGAUUCGAUGUAUGGUCUAGCCAAUACAAACCCACAUCUUCCAGAUAUUCUUGGAGAGCUCACUGCUGUGAAGUGUACAGUUUGUGACGUUCCAGAGGGAAAGGAACAUGUUGUGGGAUUAUGCGUUGAUCAUUUUUUUGGAAGUCUUUUAAGGUGAUCCAAGAGUUGUUGUAACGACUACCAAUCCUAAAAUUGUUGGAGAAACUUAUGCACGGAGCAUUUUAUUCUACAAGUAAGUAUCUAAUGGUGAAACUUCACAAUCACGUAGACUGGUCUCUACAGAACUGGAAACACUCCAGUACCUACAUUUCUCAGGGGAUACGCCAAGGUUGAGCCGUUGAGCAUAUCUGAGCUGAAUGAGUUCUUCAUCACCACCGAACCUCAGGAAAUUGAAUUCGUCUGUACUGGCAAGGUCACUGAAAUCAAGAUGGACAAAGGGUGGUGCUAUGUAUCCUGCUCUAGGUGCACAAAGAAACCCAAAGAAUUGUGUCUUUUACUUAGCUGCAAUAACACCAACUUUGUUGGUGUGCUCCGGUAUCGUGUGGAGAUGAGCAUUGCCGAUGACACUGAUGAGGGUCUGUUUGUUGGUUAUGAUGGAGAGAUGACUAAACUACAUAACAGGGGCUGUUUGUUGGUUAUGAUGGAGAUAUGACUAAACUACAUAACAUGCCCGCCUGUGAAGCUGGUCAUCUUAUGGUAUCCAUACAUCACAUCACAGCAUCGUGUAACAUAUUCCAUAUAUUAUGAAUUAUGAACUUGCAACAGAUACAUCCAACACAUAGGCUGGUCAUCUUAUGCUUACCAUUUCCUCUCACAUCGACUGAACUGACGUGUUGUCUCUCCGGUUAUGUUUGUCAAAGGAAUGACUAGCCUUUUUUGUCACGAUGGAAAUGACUACCUUGAAAGUUUAAGUUACUGUGGUCCUCCUUUGAAGCAGUGGUGGAGCCGAGCCACAUACAAAAACAUGGGGGCAAUGAACUCAACAAGAUUAAACAAUUUAGUGUAACUUAUAGCCUAAUAUAUAUGAUGCUCCCACUUAUAUAUUUUAGUUUAAUAUCUAUGCCCCCAACAAAACUAUUUUUUGCCUC